AAUCCAUAGGUUAAUGAGGCGAACCGGGGGAACUGAAACAUCUAAGUACCCCGAGGAAAAGAAAUCAACCGAGAUUCCCCCAGUAGCGGCGAGCGAACGGGGAGGAGCCCAGAGCCUGAAUCAGCAUGUGUGUUAGUGGAAGCGUCUGGAAAGGCGCGCGAUACAGGGUGACAGCCCCGUACACAAAAGCGCAUGUGCUGUGAGCUCGAUGAGUAGGGCGGGACACGUGGUAUCCUGUCUGAAUAUGGGGGGACCAUCCUCCAAGGCUAAAUACUCCUGACUGACCGAUAGUGAACCAGUACCGUGAGGGAAAGGCGAAAAGAACCCCGGCGAGGGGAGUGAAAAAGAACCUGAAACCGUGUACGUACAAGCAGUGGGAGCCUCUUUUAUGGGGUGACUGCGUACCUUUUGUAUAAUGGGUCAGCGACUUAUAUUCUGUAGCAAGGUUAACCGAAUAGGGGAGCCGGAGGGAAACCGAGUCUUAAUUGGGCGUUAAGUUGCAGGGUAUAGACCCGAAACCCGGUGAUCUAGCCAUGGGCAGGUUGAAGGUUGGGUAACACUAACUGGAGGACCGAACCGACUAAUGUUGAAAAAUUAGCGGAUGACCUGUGGCUGGGGGUGAAAGGCCAAUCAAACCGGGAGAUAGCUGGUUCUCCCCGAAAGCUAUUUAGGUAGCGCCUCGUGAAUUCAUCUCCGGGGGUAGAGCACUGUUUCGGCUAGGGGGCCAUCCCGGCUUACCAACCCGAUGCAAACUGCGAAUACCGGAGAAUGUUAUCACGGGAGACACACGGCGGGUGCUAACGUCCGUCGUGAAGAGGGAAACAACCCAGACCGCCAGCUAAGGUCCCAAAGUCAUGGUUAAGUGGGAAACGAUGUGGGAAGGCCCAGACAGCCAGGAUGUUGGCUUAGAAGCAGCCAUCAUUUAAAGAAAGCGUAAUAGCUCACUGGUCGAGUCGGCCUGCGCGGAAGAUGUAACGGGGCUAAACCAU
rnacentral:rRNA from 1 species